UCUUCAAACAAUUCCAAUAACCAUGUGUCUGUUGUCCUACCCAUUCGUUCUCUCCCUACCCUCCAGAGCAGGUUACCCACCAGGCCGCCACCACCACCACUACCGUCGCCCUUCCAUCCGCUGAUGAUGAACACUGAUUGGCAUCGCCCGUCACUACCGAUCGUCUUCCAUCUGCUGCUGCUGAUCAUCGUUGAUUAAAGCGGCCGGCUGAUUCGAAACCAGGUUACUUAUAGGUGUUUCAUUGUUCACGCCAAUCGGAUUGUAUAGAAAGGCAGAAAGCAUUGAACCUGGUCGAUGAACAGGAAAUUAACGGUAAUGUCGUCAGAUGAACAUCGGUGCGUGAAAUUACAAUUUCGCCAUGUCACCAUUCGAACCCCGUGAAUCGUCGCCGAUGGUCUGCUGGAAGUCGGAUAACCCAUCUAGGGUUCGUCUUCACCCCUGUUGGUGCUAGAUCCGUCCGGAUCUGGUACAUGUAACACCAAUGAAGUGGUUACCGCCGGAAACCCAAGGCCACCAGAACUUCAUCGACUGUCAGAGUAGCAUACGACCAUUGAUCGCCGCUCAUUGCCGCUGCCGGAGCCAUGGCAGGGGCUUAAUUUUCGCCGGCUAGCUUUCAUUGUAGGCGAUCUUAACUUGGAAGUCAUAACAGCAGCGCGCCAGCAGAUUAUAGUCCACUGCAUAAACCACCGGAUACGGACUGCCUUGGUGGCGGCGCUAUUUCAACAUAAAACCCUAGCUGCCGCCUACUCGACGAUGUUGGUGGCUUACUGCACAGUAUGGCAACUCAACACUAUGCUACUGAAUUAUCAAUACUAAAGUAGGGUGAUUCAUUGUUGUGCUUAGGGUUUGGUUUUGAUUGUGGUAGUUGAUUGAGGUGGCAGUUAUGAACAGGUCCCGACGAAGCUACAAGGUUAGACCCGAUUGCUUAAUCUGUUUAACCGAUUACAUGUAACCUUUUUAGGUCAGAAAUGAGGUUGGUGGUUGGGCAUCAAGUAUGAUGGUGAUUUCAGUGGUUAGGAGGUGACUGCCGGUGGCAACACAGACCGCCAGCCAUGGUGUUUUAUGAUUACUGAAGAUUGUUUUAAGGGUUUACAAGUUUAAGGAGUGUCAACCUUCCUACCUUCCAUUGGAACUAUUAAUGUAACAUAAGCAACCUUCUGGAUUCAAGGAUAACAAAGGAGAUGACUUUCAAAUUGAUGGUAAAAGAGAUACCAUUUUGCUUUUACAAUUGGCUUCAAUUUUAAGAUAUUUUUUAAUUUUUAAUUUGUAACACACGCCUUUGUAAAUAAAAUUAUUUUUGCAAUAUACGUCUCCCCCUACUGUAUCA